rnacentral:rRNA from 1 species
UACAGAGGUGGCAAGCGUUGUUCGGAGUUACUGGGCGUAAAGGGCGCGUAGGCGGUUCGAUAAGUCCCGUGUGAAAUCCCUCGGCUCAACUGAGGAAUGGCACGGGAAACUGACGGGCUUGAGUUCGGGAGAGGGAAGCGGAAUUCCGGGUGUAGCGGUGAAAUGCGUAGAUAUCGCUUGGAACGCCAAAGGUGAAAACAGGUUGCUGGGGUUGUGCCGACGCUGAGACACGAAAGCCAGGGGAGCAAACGGG